UCUCUUCUCUUUACUGACAACAUUUGAAUAAGGUUUGUCUUGUUUUGGACAGAUUGAAUAAAAAAAAUUAUAGAAGUCUCUUCGAUGGCGAUUCAGCAAACGCAGGAGUUCACCCUCGACUCGCUCCUCUCCGAUCUGAACCGGUCAAUCUUACCUCCCUUAUAUUUUCUUCAUCAUUCCAUUCUUGAUCUAGAGUAUUAUGGAGAUCUAACUCGUAAAAAAUAAGGAAUAGUUUGCAUGUUGUUUCUGACAAUACCAAAGAAGAUAUCAGCCGAUUAAAAUGGUUUUUGAUGUGUGCGAAGAAGUUCUGAAGCUUACUCCGUCCAAACAUGUACACUUUUGUGUCAGAUAAAUUAGUAUUGUUUCAAAACAUUUUAUUUGUUGUUUAAUAAUUUUUUUGUUAAAUAUUUUUAUUUCCCAAUUAUUCUUUCCUAUUUUCAGAGAUAAGAAUCCUUUCAAGCAGUUGAUUUUAAACAUUUUUAUGUUUGUUGAAGUAAACCUUAGAAGGUAAACAUUUUUUGUGUUUGUUUUUCUGAAAAAUGGAUAUCGAUUUUAAAAUUUUAUUCAGUAUGAUUUUGUUUGUUGUUCUGAAAAGGACAGAACAUCUGCUUGACUUUCAUAUCAAUUUUUUUUUUUGUAUUGCUUUAUAGUAUCGUAAUAAAGAGAGUCAGGGCAUCUCCAUCAGUGAACCCCUCUCAUGGGGUUCACAAAAUAUUUUUUUAUUAUUUCUUUUUUUUUUCUGUUUGAUUUUUCCUAAAAAAAAAAAAAAAAAAAUUAAUAAUCUGACCAUUCGUGGGCCACCACGUGUCGUGGGGCCCACGAAAUAGUCAAGACCCAGGUUCACCACGAAGGGGCGCGGCUUGCUCAGCUUGGAGACAAUGGGAAUUAAUGGAUAUACUUUUCCAUAUGUUAAAAGAAGUCAGUGUUUCUAGUAACAGCCACACAUAGAUGCAAAAGCGAUAUCAGCAAUACUAUACAACAGUCUGAAAUUUCGUAAUCAACCAAAUUAAGGAAAUUGUCGUCAAUCUGGAGAGUUUACCCACUGAUGGAAGUGUUGUGAACAAAAGUAAUUCGGUAGAAUGAUCUGUUGUCCUAUACGUACGACCAACAGCAGUCAAAGAAAGCUAUCAAUGUUUAGCCACUCUCCAACAGGAACCUUGCGAGCCAAUUCAUAAGUCUUUUUACAU